rnacentral:ncRNA from 1 species
GUGUUGUAUGAAAGGAGAGAAGGUUAGCGCUCCCUUUGAUAAGGAUGAAAGAGGCCCUGCAGCCUGAACAACAUACAUAUGUUUAAGGCAUUGCUGCUUAUAAGUGGUAUAUAAGUGGCAUAUAAU